GGCUGGUUGUCGAUAUUUCAUUCCCACCACAUUAUAGUGUUGCGAUAUUGCUGUGGUUCCUCUUGUUUACGUGUUGGAUCAAGUUGAUUGUUGUUGUUGGUACGCCGUCGGCACAUCGUGGUCGCCAAUGUGAUCUAUCGCUAGCUGAUUCACUGUUUUUAUCUAUUUUUUUGAUAUCUAUCGCCAUAGUAGAUUUCUCGUCGUCGUCAACUUUAAACGUUGCUAGUGUCCUUUUUGAGGCGGUUGCUUGGCUUUGGUAUUUGUGCCGAGUUGUGUUUGGUGGCUGGUUCAGCUCAGAAGCUAGUUCAAGCGGAGUUGGGGGUUGUAUGUGGGGGUGACACUCGAUGGCGAAGUGGAGCGGUGCUCCUAGCGUGGAGUGGUGGUUCUCACCACUUGUUGUUUUACUUGUCACGUGUCACGUUUAAGUCACGUUCUAUGGUGUAUUGUACGUGGACAUUGCUGACCUUGUUCUUCGGCAAUGUUCUUCUUUUGGUCCUUUGUCUUGCCUUUUGUAUUCCCUCGUGCUUAUUGUGGUGUAUUCUUGAGUUGGUACUAGUCGCUGCAAUCUACUCUCAUCCUGAUCUUGGUGUUUUAUCAUCUUGCCUUGUAGAAGUUGAGGCCCAGUCCUCCUUGCUGGAGUUUUCUUAGCGACCACUUCCAUUGUUCCCUCGAGGCUCUUGUGGUUCACGAGUCGAAGUGGAGUCCAACUGAGAUUGGAGUGCUUGCAGUAAUUCACCGCAACUGACUUGUCAUCAGAACCAGCGGCAAUUGGCUGGCUGUUGUGGGAGGCAUCAACCUUCAUCGACAAGUUGCUCAAAAGAGUGUCUAGAGCCCAGUAGCGUGGUAGCAAACUGUUGAUAAUGUAAUCAACCCUGGUUAGAUUUCGCAAAAUAGUUGCCUAUUGGGGUAGAUUGUAGAUUUGUCACAAUUUGGACAUUGCGUUCUGGUCGUCAACACUAGAAUUAUGUGAAAGUCUAAGCUUUUAUAAGUUGCAUAAUUCAUAUAUUAUUUAUAUGUUUAAACAUGGUUUAUACAGUCCAGGGAGUUGUGACUGAACAGUUGUGACUCCACAACUGUAUGCGAUUAGAUCGCUGACUGUACCGUUUUAUCUGAUUACAGUUACUGGUACUUUUAAUAUCUCUAUAAUCUAAUACGCCCUCUUAACU
rnacentral:lncRNA from 1 species